rnacentral:rRNA from 1 species
UACGGAGGGGGCUAGCGUUGUUCGGAAUUACUGGGCGUAAAGCGCACGUAGGCGGCUUUGUAAGUUAGAGGUGAAAGCCUGGUGCUCAACACCAGAACUGCCUUUAAGACUGCAUCGCUUGAAUCAUGGAGAGGCGGGUGGAAUUCCGAGUGUAGAGGUGAAAUUCGUAGAUAUUCGGAGGAACACCAGUGGCGAAGGCGGCUCACUGGCUCGGUACUGACGCUGAGGUGCGAAAGCGUGGGGAGCAAACAGG